rnacentral:rRNA from 1 species
UACGGAGGGUGCAAGCGUUGCUCGGAAUUAUUGGGCGUAAAGGGUAGGUAGGUGGUCUCAUUUGUCUGGGGUGAAAGCCUUGAGCUUAACUCAAGAAGUGCCCCAGAAACGGUGAGACUGGAGUCCUGGAGAGGGUCGUGGAAUUCCCGGUGUAGCGGUGAAAUGCGUAGAGAUCGGGAGGAACACCAGAGGCGAAAGCGGCGACCUGGACAGGUACUGACACUCAACUGCGAAAGCUAGAGGAGCAAACAGG